CAGUCGCCGCGGGAAUACGAAGGGGGCUAGCGUUGUUCGGAUUUACUGGGCGUAAAGGGUGCGUAGGCGGAUUGUUAAGUCAGGGGUGAAAUCCCGAGGCUCAACCUCGGAACUGCCUUUGAUACUGGCGAUCUUGAGUCCGGGAGAGGUGAGUGGAACUGCGAGUGUAGAGGUGAAAUUCGUAGAGAUGUGGAGGAACACCAGUGGCGAAGGCGACUCUCUGGUCUGUAACCGACGCUGAGGAGCGAAAGCGUGGGGAGCGAACAGGAUUAGAUACCCCCGUAGUCCCUGUCUCUUAUAC
rnacentral:rRNA from 1 species